CUACGGGUCGCUGCAGUGGGGAAUAUUGCACAAUGGAGGAAACUCUGAUGCAGCAACGCCGCGUGGAGGAUGACACUUUUCGGAGCGUAAACUCCUUUUAUAUAGGAAGAUAAUGACGGUACUAUAUGAAUAAGCACCGGCUAACUCCGUGCCAGCAGCCGCGGUAAUACGGAGGGUGCAAGCGUUACUCGGAAUCACUGGGCGUAAAGAGCGUGUAGGCGGAUAGAUAAGUCAGGAGUGAAAUCCUAUGGCUCAACCAUAGAACUGCUCUUGAAACUGUCUAUCUAGAAUAUGGGAGAGGUAGAUGGAAUUUCUGGUGUAGGGGUAAAAUCCGUAGAGAUCAGAAGGAAUACCGAUUGCGAAGGCGAUCUACUGGAACAUUAUUGACGCUGAGACGCGAAAGCGUGGGGAGCAAACAGGAUUAGAUACCCUCGUAGUC
rnacentral:rRNA from 1 species